rnacentral:rRNA from 1 species
GAUGAACGCUGGCGGCGUGCCUAAUACAUGCAAGUCGAGCGAACAGGCGAGGAGCUUGCUCCUCUGACGUUAGCGGCGGACGGGUGAGUAACACGUGGAUAACCUACCUAUAAGACUGGGAUAACUUCGGGAAACCGGAGCUAAUACCGGAUAAUAUAUUGAACCGCAUGGUUCAAUAGUGAAAGACGGUUUUGCUGUCACUUAUAGAUGGAUCCGCGCCGCAUUAGCUAGUUGGUAAGGUAACGGCUUACCAAGGCAACGAUGCGUAGCCGACCUGAGAGGGUGAUCGGGCACACUGGGACUUAGAAACGGUCCCGACUCCUACGGGAGGCAGCAGUAGGGAAUCUUCCGCAAUGGGCGAAAGCCUGACGGAGCAACGCCGCGUGAGUGAUGAAGGUCUUCGGAUCGUAAAACUCUGUUAUUAGGGAAGAACAAAUGUGUAAGUAACUAUGCACGUCUUGACGGUACCUAAUCAGAAAGCCACGGCUAACUACGUG